AUUGAACGCUGGCGGCAGGCUUACACAUGCAAGUCGAACGGCAGCACGGGAGCAAUCCUGGUGGCGAGUGGCGAACGGGUGAGUAAUGUAUCGGAACGUGCCCAGUCGUGGGGGAUAACGUAGCGAAAGCUACGCUAAUACCGCAUACGAUCUAUGGAUGAAAGCGGGGGAUCGCAAGACCUCGCGCGAUUGGAGCGGCCGAUAUCAGAUUAGGUAGUUGGUGGGGUAAAGGCCCACCAAGCCUGCGAUCUGUAGCUGGUCUGAGAGGACGACCAGCCACACUGGAACUGAGACACGGUCCAGACUCCUACGGGAGGCAGCAGUGGGGAAUUUUGGACAAUGGGCGCAAGCCUGAUUCAGCAAUGCCGCGUGCAGGAUGAAGGCCUUCGGGUUGUAAACUGCUUUUGUACGGAACGAAACGGCUUUUUCUAAUACAGAGAGCUAAUGACGGUACCGUAAGAAUAAGCACCGGCUAACUACGUGCCAGCAGCCGCCGUAA
rnacentral:rRNA from 1 species